rnacentral:rRNA from 1 species
CCUACGGGAGGCAGCAGUGGGGAAUAUUGGACAAUGGACGAAAGCCUGAUCCAGCCAUGCCGCGUGUGUGAAGAAGGCCUUUUGGUUGUAAAGCAGUUUUUGCGAGGAAGAGGCUACUUAGAUUUGUACUCAACGAAAGGGGACGUUACUCUCAGAAUAAGCACCGGCUAAGUCUGUGCCAGCAGCCGCGGUAAU